rnacentral:siRNA from 1 species
UGACUCGGUGCGGAGUACUCCUC